rnacentral:rRNA from 1 species
AUUGAACGCUGGCGGCAGGCCUAACACAUGCAAGUCGAACGGUAACAGGAAGAAGCUUGCUUCUUUGCUGACGAGUGGCGGACGGGUGAGUAAUGUCUGGGAAACUGCCUGAUGGAGGGGGAUAACUACUGGAAACGGUAGCUAAUACCGCAUAACGUCGCAAGACCAAAGAGGGGGACCUUCGGGCCUCUUGCCAUCGGAUGUGCCCAGAUGGGAUUAGCUAGUAGGUGGGGUAACGGCUCACCUAGGCGACGAUCCCUAGCUGGUCUGAGAGGAUGACCAGCCACACUGGAACUGAGACACGGUCCAGACUCCUACGGGAGGCAGCAGUGGGGAAUAUUGCACAAUGGGCGCAAGCCUGAUGCAGCCAUGCCGCGUGUAUGAAGAAGGCCUUCGGGUUGUAAAGUACUUUCAGCGGGGAGGAAGGGAGUAAAGUUAAUACCUUUGCUCAUUGACGUUACCCGCAGAGGAAACACCGGCUAACUCCGU